AAGACUAUAGACCUGCGGAGUACCUGCGGAGGGAUCAUUACUGAAAGUUCUUGCCUCUUUUAGAGGUAGACCUUCAAACCAUUUGUUAACUUUGCCCUGGUUGCUUCGGCGAAUCGUGAUGAAUAAAAAAGGGGUUUCCCUCUUUUUUUGAUCCCAUUGGCCCUUAUGGGUUAGUGUGUGUUCGUCAGAAGUCAUUUUAACUCUGGUUAUAAAUUAUUGUCUGAGGGUUUUUUUACAAAU
rnacentral:misc_RNA from 1 species